GACAGAGGUGCCGAGCGUUAGGCGGAAUCACUGGGCUUAAAGCGUGUGUAGGCGGACUUCUAAGUACCUUGUGAAAUCCCACGGCUCAACCGUGGAACUGCUUGGUAUACUGGUUGUCUUGAGCCACUUAGGGGCAGUCGGAACAGACGGUGGAGCGGUGAAAUGCGUAGAUAUCAGGAGGAACACCUGUGGUGUAGACAGCUUGCUGGACCAUUUCUGACACUGAGACACGAAAGCGUGGGUAGCAAACAGG
rnacentral:rRNA from 1 species